AUUGAACGCUGGCGUCAGGCUUAACACAUGUAAGUCGAGCGGGGAAAGGUAGCUUGCUACUUUACCUAGCGGCGGACGGGUGAGUAAUGCUUAGGAAUCUGCCUAUUAGUGGGGGACAACACCUCGACAGGGAUGCUAUUACCGCAUACGUCCUACGGGAGAAAGCAGGGGACCUUCGUGCCUUGCGCUAAUAGAUGAGCCUAAGUCGGAUUAGCUAGUUGGUGGGGUUAAGGCCUACCAAGGCGACAAUCUGUAGCGGGUCUGAGAGGAUGGUCAGACACACUGGGACUGAGGAACGGCCCAAAGUCCGACGGGAGGCAGCAGUGGGGCAUAGUGGAGGACGGGGGGAGCCCUGAACCAGCCAUGCCGCGUGUGGGAAGAAGGCAUUUUGGUUGUAAAGCACUUUAAGCGAGGAGGAGGCUAGCGAGAUUAAUACUCUUGGAUAGUGGACGUUACUCGCAGACUAAGCACCGGCUAACUCUGUGCCAGCAGCCGCAGUAAGAC
rnacentral:rRNA from 1 species